UACGGGGGGGGCAAGCGUUGUUCGGAAUUACUGGGCGUAAAGGGCGCGUAGGCGGCCUGCUAAGUCGGGCGUGAAAUCCCUCGGCUCAACCGAGGAACUGCGUCCGAUACUGGUGGGCUUGAAUCCGGGAGAGGGAUGUGGAAUUCCAGGUGUAGCGGUGAAAUGCGUAGAUAUCUGGAGGAACACCGGUGGCGAAGGCGGCAUCCUGGACCGGUAUUGACGCUGAGGCGCGAAAGCUAGGGGAGCAAACGGG
rnacentral:rRNA from 1 species